ACCUUCACCCUCUGACAAAAAGUAAAAAAAAAUGUAGACUUUGUUCUUGUAAGAAUUCUUAAUUCUUGAAUUGAAGAAAAGGAUUUAUGUCACCACCAAAUAAAAAUUGAAAAAAAACAAUGGUUGAAAAUAUCCAAAACUACAAAGCAAUGGCCAUAAUAAAUCCCACACAAAAUGGGUCCUUCAUAAACGCUUUAUCUGUACAUUAUCUAAUCUUAAUACUAUCUUCCCAUUCAUAAUAUCCCUUCUCUAUAUUCUCUCUCUUUAGAUAAUAUCUCUCUCUCAAUAAACACUAAAACAAACUUUGGAGCUCAAAAAUCUGCAUUAAAAAAAAAUUACAAUGGCUCUAAGUGGUGUUUAUGUCACAGCACCUGCUGCUGCAGCAGCAAUGGGGCUCUAUUUCUUUGGAAAAAACAUCUCCAACACCAAUGAUGGUGAGGAUGGAGGAAUGGCCGGAAUGACGGUGCCCAAGGACGAGGAAAAUGGGAGGAUUGAGAAAAAGUCGACGGGGGCGGUGGCGCCCAAGUUGGCUCCACAGUUUGAUGGUUUGCAUUGCUUCGAGACGAUUGUUAGCCGUUAGACUAUUCUCAUCCGUAUAGUCUUGAUUAGUUGCUUCUUCAGUUUCCAAAUUGCUAUAAUUUUAUCAAUGGAGGUUAUAUAGUUUUGGCAUAUGAUGUUUGUGUAGGAAACCAAAUAUCUAUAAUUGUAUGAUGAGGUUGCUUUUUAACUUUUAAGCACAUUGAUAUUUUUGUAGGUGAUGUUUAUUCCUGUUGAUUCACUUCAACAUAGUACAUGUGACUCUUUUUUAGUGUUAUGGAAUAAAAACAUUUGUUUACUA